CAGGAGGCUGAAGCACGAGAAUCGCUUGAACCCAGGAGGCAGAGGUUGCAGUAAGCCAAGACUGCACCACUGCUCUCCAGCCUGGGUGACAGAGUGAGACUCCGUCUCAAAAAAAGAAAAAAAAAAUUUUUUUUUUUGAAUAGGGAAUACUUUCGUGUGUUUCAGACUAAAAAAUUGAUUUUAUAUGUAUUUAUAAUUACACACAUAUACGUAUGCAGUAAAGUUUCAUUUUUACUUGUCCUUCAGCCACCAUUUCCUUUCCUCUUACACACUAAUAUUUUCAGUUUCUUAUUUAUCCUUCCAGUUAUUUUAUGGACAUACCAGUAAAUACACACAUAUAUUAAUAUAUCCAGUAUUUUCCCCAUCUCUUUUUUGCACAACCCCUUAAAUAUACUUAAAAUAAAACAGAACAACAAAUUUUUCGUAAACAAAAUUUAAUACAACCAUAUAGUCAAGUAAUAAUGGUUAAAAGACAUUUUAUUAGAUACAACUUUUAAAAAAUUAAACUAUGCAAGAAGUAUAUUUAAACAAAACAUGUAAGUAAGUAUUCACGUGCUACAACUUAACUAAGAACAAUUAAAUACAAAGCAUUCUUUCCACUAUGAAGACUCUGGAGCCUCUAAUUGAAAGCAAAUGACCUUAGGUCUAUACUAGUUGUAAAGCAGAUUAUACUUUUGUUCAACUCUAAAUUUGUAUUGUCUUAGAGCUCCAACAACUCUCAAUAAAAAUUUAAAUAAAGAAACCUUGGGGGAGGGGUGAUAGGGAAGGGGAGAGUAAGUGCUUUUUCAAAAAGGUAAAUGAAAAAGCCUGAAGAGGGAAAAAAUUGUACAUAAGUAUGGAACAAAAAUAAGUAUACUUUUUUGACAUUCGAUGUAGAUACUGCAAAUGAAUUUACACGGGUUUAAUCAAUGUAAGAUAGAUAUUUGUCUGAAUAUUUUAAAAAGCACCUAGGUAUCAAAAAAUAAAAACAAAAAAUAUAAUGAAACUCCAAACCUACUGCCUUAAAGAUCAACCAAUUUGCUCCAUUCUGGUUACUUGGCAUGGUAAAUUUAUUUAACUAAAAAGAAUAAUGGGGUGAGGUGAUGUAAACCUGGCUUUCAAUAAGAUGCACAACAAAUUCUAAUAAGGCCAAAACUCUGUUGAGGUUAACUGGUGUCUUGAGUUUACUAAAAUAAAGGCAGUCCAUAGGAAGCCUCAAAGAGACAUUAUCUUACCACUUGGCACCACAAAAACACCAAGCUCUCCUCUCUGAAAAUACAGGCCGGGGGUGGUGGCUCACGCCUGUAAUCCCAGCACUUUGGGAGGCCGAGGUGGGCGGAUCACGUGGUCAGGAGUGAUCCGUCUCUACUAAACCCCGUCUCUACUAAAAAUACAAAAAAAUUAGCCGGGUGUGGUGGCACGCACCUGUGGUCUCAGCUACUCGGGAGGCUGAGGCAGAAUCCCUUGAACCCGGGAGGUGGAGGUUGCAGUCAGCUGAGAUCGCGCCACUGCACUCCAGCCUGGGCGACAGAGCAAGACCCCGUUCUCCCCCCUUCCCCAAAAAAAAAAAAAAACGAAAAAAAUACAGUUUGAAGUAGAUGUCGUCUUUUCCACAUAUAAAUCUCAAGACAUAAAAGGCACACACAAUUCAACUCCUCUCUUUUCAUAUAUGGGUUCUCACAGCAAUUUAAAAAAUCUAUUGCCAUAUCCAGACAACAGGAGAAAAAAAAAAUACCUGGUUUGCUUAUUGACAAAAGUGGUGUAAUUGAACCUUUGUCUUUCCUGAGUUUCAAAAAGGCUAUUUGACAGUAGAGAUACAUAAACAAUUCAUAUUCAGUAAGAUAAAAUGUAUCAGUCCACAAAACAUUUUCAUCUUUUUAAGUAUAAAAGAAUCAAUGUUCAACCACCACCAUGUGUGAAGCCCCUUUUUCCAAAUUAAACUUACUCUAGAAUCAUGAAUUGAAGAUUAUUCAGUCAUGGCACUUUACACCCCAAACGAGCAAAAGUAACAAGUUAAUACCCUCCCUGAGUAUUUACAUCAUCUUAUCACCUGGUUUAAAUGGAGUAAAUACCUAUAUUUCAAUCAUCUAGGAAAUAAAAAGGUUACUGAAGAUCCAAUACACUAGUAUUUCAUACCUGUGCAGUAAAGUCAGUGGGAAGAUUACAGUAGAAAAGGAGGAAGUUCUACUGUUGUAAAAAUUAGACCACUUUUGUAGCUGACUCACAUAGAGGAAAAACAGAAAAUGAUUAAAGUUCAUGAAAAAAAAACUAUACUUUUCUGUUCUACAAAGCAUACCUUUGAAUUCCCUUUCCAACUGAGGUAUCACAGCUGGGUUUAGCAAACUCAUCUCUUCUGACCUUGUAAAACUAAAUUGUCAUAAAGAUUCUGAUUAUACAUAAGUCAUCGUUACUAAUACUCAUGAAAAUAACAACUAUCAUUUGUAGAAUCCUCAGCAUUUACAAAAUACUUUUUCACACAUUAUCUCAUUUACUGUAAAGAAUUUCUUAACUAAAUAAUUCUAUUAUCUAUAAGAGUAUAAUGCAGAUGUUUACUCUAAAAUUAAAGUACAAGUAUCCAAACUGUACCUACAUUCUUUCAACUAAGAGGAUAGAAAAUUGUUUUCUGAAUUGUUGUUAUCACAAAAUGGUAUCUAUCAUUUUAAAAUUAUGAUUUGAAAAAUAAAAAUUCCCUAAAAAUUUUUAAGUUUUUUAGAGUUUUCCUCAGAAUGUAGAUUCUAGCUAAGCAUUAAAGUUUAAAAAAUGUCUAUCUGAAAUCUCUGAAUCAUUCUAAAAUGAGAAAACAAUGUAGCUUACCAAUGUUAGGCUUUUUAUUUCAACCUUGGUUUUAACAGAAAUCUGGUGACACUUUAAUUACAUAU
rnacentral:lncRNA from 10 species